CCUUCGACGCACCGCUGGUGCAGACCCCUGGCGCCUCAGGAUCAAACGUGUAUUGAACAGUUAUGGAAUGACUGCAGAACAACAGUCCUUCUUUCCUAGUUUGACUCAUUGAACAUUUUUUAAAAUUGAAAACAGAUUAAUGUGAAAGAAGAUAACAUUCGCUAAAGGAUGUGCACGAAAUAAUAAAAUUGCUAAAAAUAAUUGAGUAUUGCAGAGGACGUUGGGCCAUAAUGUCCAGGGAUGCCUACUAGAGUAGCGCCGAUCUGAGAAACUAGUGGGUUAGUGAAUGAGUCCAAUAUUGAAUGCCAGCAAAUCGGAGGAAGUGGGUGGAGUGCAAGUAUGGAAGAAAAGGGCUUGGCCCGUUUAGUGUUUGUGGAAAAAAAAAUUGGCCUCAUUGUGUCUGAGUCAGCUCGCAGAUCCCCCGAGCAUGUUGUAACCCGUUCAAGCAGAGCAAGAAGUUUCCAGGUGCUACUGCCAGAUCACGCUGAUUGAGUUGGCCUCAACCAAGGUAGCAACAUGAGCAGUAAAAUUGGCCUCUGGAUCAUGGAGUUGGGAAGAAGAAAUCUCCAAAACUUAUAACUUCAUUAUUCAUAGGAAUGACUGAACUCACAGCUGAGAUUUCAUUGACAACUCAGUCAUUCUUACUGUGAAAUUACAAGUGUUAAUAUGAAACAUGAAUGACUCAGAGAAAUAAAUCAACUUCCCCAGUUGGCAAUACAGAUGCAACCUUUUUCAUUUUAUGGUCAGUUAUUUUCUAUGUGUUACAUCUUACUACUAACAAUCCAUUCAUAUUACGUUUCAAACAUUUUGGAAUAGAAAGCUAAUGAAGUAUUUCCUCAUAACCAACCAAGUAUGUAAAUAGAAAUUUUGAAAAAUAUGUCACCUCAUUCUUCUUCCUCUCGAUUUCAAUUUUCUCCAGUAUUCAGUUUCCCAUUUGUCCCUUUCUCCUUUAUUUUAUUUUCCUCGGAUGUAUUUUGAGUAAGUUACGUCUGUGCAGAAGUGGGUUCGAACCCUGUGCAUAACUUGAAAGGCAACUUCUAAACUGGUACUUACACUCAGUGGCCAGUUUAUUAGGUACACCUGGACACCUGCAGGUUAAUGCAAAUAGCAAAUCAGCCAAUCAUGUGGCAGCAAAUCGAUUCAUGAAAGCUUAGGACAUGGUCAAGAGAUUCAAUUGUUGUUCAGACCAAACAUCAGAAUAAGGAAGAAAUGCGAUCUAAGCAACUUUGACUGUGGACUGAUUGUUGGUACCAGUCGGGAUGGCUUGAGUAUCUCAGAAACUGCUGAUCCCUUUGGACUUUCACGCACAACAAUCUCUCUAGAGUUCACAGAGAAUGGUGUGAAAGACAAAAAUAAAUCCAGUGAGCUGUAGUUCUGAAGGAUGAAAACACCUUGUUAAAGAGAGAUGUCAGAGGAGAAUGGCCAGACUGGUUCAAGCUGAGAGUAAAAUGACAGUAGAACAAGUGACCAUGCCUUAGAAAAGUGGUGCGUGGAAGAGCAUCUCUGAAUACACAACACAUUGAACCUUGAAGUCAAUAGGCUGCAGCAGCAGGAGAUGAGGAACAUACACUCAGUGAUGGCUUUAUUAGGUGCUGGAGUUACGUCCUACUAUUUACUUAUUUAAAGAUACAGUGCAGAACAGACCCUAUUGGCCUGAUGAACAGCACCACCCAACAACCCAUCUAUUUAACCCUAGCCUAGUCACAGGACAGUUUACAAUGACCAAUUAAUCGAUGGACCUGUAUGAUUUUUUGGACUGUGGGAGGAAACUGGAACACACAGAGAAAAUAACCUGCAUAGUCACAGGGAGAAUGUACAAUCUCCUUACAGAUGGCUCUAGAAUUGAACCCUGAUACCCCAGGCUGUAAUAGCAUUGUGCUAUCCGCUACAAUACUGUGACAACCAACAGGAUGACUACUUCACUAAUGUCCUUCAGAAAAGGAAAUUGGCCAUAAAGUGGCCACUGCGUAUCUUUCCUAAUGUCCAACCAGGUGCAGAAAUAGAAAUUUUGAAAUGUAUGUCACUUCAUUCUUCUUCAUCUUGUUUUAAAAUUUACUCUGGUGUUCAUUUUCUCAUUUGUCCCUUUUUCCUUUCUUUUAUUUUCCUCAGAUGUAUUUUGAGUCAUUUAUGUAUGCACGGUCUGUGCGGAUUGGUGAUAACAUCUCCUCCUCGCUGACGAUCACCGCUUGCGCACCUCAGGGGUGUGUGCUUAGCCCACUGCCCUACUCUCUAUAUACACAUGACUAUGUGCUUAGGCAUCUACAAAUUUGCUAUUGUUGGUAGAAUCUCAGGUGGUGACAAGAGGGCGUACAGGGGUGAGAUAUGCCAACUAGUGGAGUGGUGCCACAGCAACAACCUGGCACUCAACGUCAGUAAGAUGAAAGAGCUGACUGUGGGCUUCAGGAAGGGUAAGACAAAGGAGCACAUACCAAUCCUCAAAGAGGGAUCAGAAGUGGAGAGAGUGAGCAGCUUCAAGUUCCUGGGCAUCAAGUUCUUUGAGGAUCUGACCUGGUCCCAACAUAUUGAUGUAGUUAUAAAGAAGGCAAGACAACAGUUAUACUUUAUUAGGAGUUUGAAGAGAUUUGGAAUGUCAACAAAUACAUUCAAAAACUUCAAUAGUUGCUUCGUAGAAAACAUUCUGACAGGCU